AAAAGAAAUAAAGUGUGAAUGACUCAUUUGGAAAACCGUGAACUAGUGAAGAGUGAAGACUGUAGAAAAAAAAAGUGAAGGCUGUGAAGUUGGGCGGCAACAACUAAAAUUGACAAACCCUAACUCCCUAAUCAACAAUUCUCACCUGCCCACCGUCGCUUGGAAACCACCCGCUUGGAAACCACCGCUUGGAAACGCCGCAGGCCCGCCAUACUCAACACAAGGUAGCGAAUGAGUCCUUCACGCAAGUCGGAUUCAUCGAAUGGUGUCUCCCGAAAUUAAAGAUAUAAACGAGAUUGAGAAGAAUUAAAGUUAGGGACGAUUUAACGAGAUGAUGAAUGUUAUGAUGCAAGGAAUGAAUGCAAAGGGGAUUCAAGGGACGAACACACAAAAAUGGUGACGCGGAAAACUCCAAUGAGGGUGGAUAAAAAUCGCGGGUGGAGAUGGUUCCACCAAUCUACUAUCAGGGAUUAUCGUUCCAGAUGAACAACAAUCGUUACAAUUUAAGUUUUGAUCUAAGUACAAAUAUAGAAUGUAAAUCAGAAUAAUGAAUAACUCUUUCUUUUGUAUGCUUUUUUUGUAUCAAUAAUGCCGUAUGUUUCUUUCUGGCCU